rnacentral:rRNA from 1 species
UAGGGAAUCUUCCGCAAUGGACGAAAGUCUGACGGAGCAACGCCGCGUGAGUGAAGAAGGAUUUCGGUUCGUAAAACUCUGUUGUUAGGGAAGAAAAAAUGUAUAGUAACUAUAUACAAAAGAGACGGUACCUAACCAGAAAGCCACGGCUAACUACGUGCCAGCAGCCGCGGUAAUACGUAGGUGGCAAGCGUUGUCCGGAAUUAUUGGGCGUAAAGCGCGCGCAGGUGGUUUAGAAAGUCUGAUGUGAAAGCCCACGGCUCAACCGUGGAGGGUCAUUGGAAACUAAUAAACUUGAGUGCAGGAGCGAAAAGUGGAAUUCCUAGUGUAGCGGUGAAAUGCGUAGAGAUUAGGAGGAACACCGGUGGCGAAAGCGGCUUUUUGGCCUGCAACUGACACUGAGGCGCGAAAGCGUGGGGAGCAAACAGG